rnacentral:rRNA from 1 species
UUAGAGGAAGUAAAAGUCGCAACAAGGUUUCCGUAGGUGAACCUACGAAGGAUCAU